GCGGAUGUGGCGGAAUUGGCAGACGCGCUAGAUUUAGGAUCUAGUACCUCGUGUAUGAAGGUUCGAAUCCUUUCAUCCGCACCA
rnacentral:tRNA from 1 species